rnacentral:lncRNA from 1 species
GAUCGCUGUCAGAUGGUUAUUCUAGAUUAUAAGUUCUGAGGGUAUUGAACACACUUUUUGGACAUUAGUAAUGAAACUUGAUUUAGUAAUUAUAUUGAUACAUGGGAUUUAUCUGGUCAGUUGUGUUGAAAGAUUUUUCAAUGAAAGGGAGGAAAAUGUUUCGAAUAGAAUAAAAAGAUUAGAUGUUAAAGACGGAGAAUUCACGAACAGAAUAGUUUUCACCACUACGAGAGAAGAUGACCCAAUCGUAUGGUUUAAUCAAAAGUAUCCUCAGUAUGACUAUAUUGGA